UUUUUAUUCUUAACUUCGUACACUGAAGGACAGAGAGAAGAUAGCCAACUGUUGAAGAUUUUCUGAGGAACUGAAGCAGUGCUUGGGAAGCAAGCUCACUGAAUAUCCUUGACCACGAGGAAAACGGAUCAGAGACUGAAACAUGAGUUUCUUGUCUUAAAAAGUUGCAGCUGCCUGUUAAACUGAUUGUGGCUGUGCACAGGAUCUUGUGUGUUUUCACCACUUACUUUGUGGUUCCAGAGUAGAGCACUGAAUAUCCUUGACCACGAGGAAAACGGAUCAGAGACUGAAACAUGAGUUUCUUGUCUUAAAAAGUUGCAGCUGCCUGUUAAACUGAUUGUGGCUGUGCACAGGAUCUUGUGUGUUUUCACCACUUACUUUGUGGUUCCAGAGUAGAGCACUGAAUAUCCUUGACCACAAGGAAAACGGAUCAGAGACUGGAACAUGAGUUUCUUGUCUUAAAAUGUUGCAGCUGCCUGUUAAACUGAUUGUGACUGUGCACAGGUAUGUCUGAAAGAAUGAAUCUAAAUUCUUAUCCUCUAUCAGCCUAAAGCCAGCACAUGGCUAUGAUGACUGAUGUAUGUGCUUCUGCAUGUUUACUGGAUGGAA
rnacentral:lncRNA from 1 species